GUGGGGAAUAUUGGACAAUGGGCGAAAGCCUGAUCCAGCCAUGCCGCGUGUGUGAAGAAGGUCUUCGGAUUGUAAAGCACUUUAAGUUGGGAGGAAGGGCAGUAAGUUAAUACCUUGCUGUUUUGACGUUACCGACAGAAUAAGCACCGGCUAACUUCGUGCCAGCAGCCGCGGUAAUACGAAGGGUGCAAGCGUUAAUCGGAAUUACUGUGCGUAAAGCGCGCGUAGGUGGUUUUGUAAGUUGGAGGUGAAAUCCCCGGGCUCAACCUGGGAACUGCCUCCAAAACUGCAUGACUAGAGUACGGUAGAGGGUAGUGGAAUUUCCUGUGUAGCGGUGAAAUGCGUAGAUAUAGGAAGGAACACCAGUGGCGAAGGCGACUACCUGGACUGAUACUGACACUGAGGUGCGAAAGCGUGGGGAGCAAACAGGAUUAGAUACCCCUGUAGUCC
rnacentral:rRNA from 1 species